rnacentral:lncRNA from 1 species
UCGUUCCAUCACUAGUUUCAAUGAAUAAUUCACUGGUAAUUUCUCAUUCUCUAUUUUGCUUGUUGUGUUGAAGGAAUUCAAAAUAUUAAAUUCUUUAGUUAUGUUUAUCAUUCGACUACUAUUUCCUCUAUUUUAAUGUACAAUUUUUUUUUAAUGUACAGUCACAUUUCGUUUUUGUGCUGGCUAUUUGUUUGAACAUAAUACUAUUACGUUCUUCCUUAUUCUUUGUCAUGAACUCCCGUCAUAUUGGUCACAUAAAUCCUAUUAUUCAAAGGAUUUAUGUGAAUUGCUUCAUUGCUUAAAAGAAGAUCAUUCUUCUUCAACCAAUCAUCGUUCAAAACACCAAUUAAGAGAAAAGAAGCAGAAACUUUGACAGCUAACAACAACAAAAUAUCACAUCGUAACCUAUAUUGUAACACGCAACCUUUCACAGGAAAAAACAAAUCCGGGGGAAAGGCCAAUUCUUCUCAACUAUGGAAUUGAUAUUUACUCAUUGAAAGAAAUAGAUCAAUAUGCCGGAAAGUUGGUGUGUGUGUUCUUCCAAGAGAUGCUACUAACUAAACAUAGCCAAGAUACGUGCCAGUAGUGCCAUCUCUCGGACCUUGCACGUACUUCUCAAACGACCCUCGUACAUCUGUCCGAAAAUUAUAAAUAAAAUACUUACUAUUCGAGAAAAAUUAGGAAAAUGUCAACUUGUUUUCGUCCUUUUUCUGUUUCUUUUAGAUAAAAAGGUUGCGAGAUUCAAUAAAAGUCGAUACUAUCUUGGCAACGAGAGCAAAUCUUUGAGGAGUCAAAAAAUGAAAAACAAUUGGGCUCAAAAUGAAUCUUUGAAACUAUGCCCUCAGAGAAAAAUGCAUAUUAAUACAUUUAAAUCCUGAAUUAACAUUUGCAUACGAUAUUUUAAACCACUGUCACGCGUGUUUUUCUUUUAUUGUUGUUGUAUAAGCGGCCGUGAAACUGAAAUGCAUUUAAAACAAUACAGCGCUAAUUAUAUUUUGUGCUUUCAUUUUGCUUUGUUUUUAUUCUAAUGAAGUUAAUAAGAUUAAUUGCAUUGUUCCACAAUGGAGUAUCUAUUGUUGCUGAUGUUCAGAUUGAAUGGCCAUGAUUUUCUCCAAAAAGUUUGUACGUCGAAGCCAUUCAUUAAAAGCCAAUAUUACCAUUCUAAAACAAUAUUUUCGUAGCUUUUGAAUGUUUGUAUCAAAGGAGGCCGAACUAUGAAUCAUUUGUCUACUUGUAUUGAUCAUUUUCCCUUCUGUACAAAGAUAUCAGUUGACUACAUAUUUACCAAGUCCCCAAAAAACCCGUUGUACACACCUAUAUAUUGUAAAAACACUUAUUACAAUAUUCCCCUUCACGUACCUGGAUUGUGAAACAUGGGAUGUUUUUAUUUUCACAACUAUAUUGUUACAAUUAAAAAAUAAAAUAAAAAAUAAUAAUUUUUUCAUACGUCCGUUUGAAGUUUUGAUAUAAAGACAAUCUAUAUAAUAUUAAUUAUGCGAAUGUAUGUGUGUGUGUUCGAGAAUCACGGAUAAAUCUUUAGGCUCAGGAAAUGAUUCUGGUAAAAAAAAAUUGGCGUUUCAAAGCACGCCAAGACUAAUGCAUAUUAUACUAUAAAUAAAUAACUUAAAAUUCUAUGAAGUAUUCUAGAAAAGGUUGGUAUGUAUCUUUGCACAAUUU